UACAGAGGUCUCAAGCGUUGUUCGGAUUCAUUGGGCGUAAAGGGUGCGUAGGUGGCGCCGUAAGUCGGGUGUGAAAUUUCGGAGCUUAACUCCGAAACUGCAUUCGAUACUGCGGUGCUUGAGGACUGGAGAGGAGACUGGAAUUCCUGGUGUAGCGGUGAAAUGCGCAGAUAUCAGGAGGAACACCGGUGGCGAAGGCGGGUCUCUGGGCCGUAACUGACGCUGAGGAGCGAAAGCGUGGGGAGCGAACAGG
rnacentral:rRNA from 1 species